AUACUCCCUCGUACCAAGAACGAUAGAAGGGGUAAUGAGGUUGAAAAUAAAGAAAUGAAUAGGAUGAUCAUAGAACUUCUUUUGGGGUGUAAUCUGAGGACGGUGACGAUUUUUUUUCCCCGUGUUCAGGGCGGAGGUCAUGAGGAAGUCUAGAGGAGCACUUUUCCCGGAAGAUAAAAUCUGCAAAUGGCUGACUCAUCUAUUGUUAGCUUUGGAGCAUCUGCAUUCCAACCACGUUCAUCAUAGAGACCUCAAGUUAUGUAACAUAUUCAUCACAAAGGACAACGACAUCGGGUUAGGUAAGAAUGCCCGAACAAUUGCUUGAUUGGGUAGUCUUUGCUUCUUUACUAUCCUUCAAAUUCACUUGAUUGU